AGGUACUUUCUGUGGCAUGUUUUCAUGGUGUGGGAAUAAGACUUGGUGGUCAAAUACAGCUAAUAUGUAGGUUAGCACCACAGCUUGUCUGCAAGGAUUGGAGCUGGGAAACGGCCAUUGGAGCUGAAUUUUAUGGAAGCUGUGGCUGCAGCAAUGAUUAUGUGAUAAAACUGAAGAAUGUUAUUCAAAUUUUUUUUGUAUAUAUUUCAAAAAAUGUAAUUUUUUAUAAAAAAAAAAAAAAGGUGUAAAGAUUCUCCAUUUUCAAUUAGAUUGGAAGCUUGUAUUUACAAUUGUUAGAUCUUCUUCGUUAUUCCCCCACCCCCUGUAUCUCUAUUUCAUUUUUACUUUGAAAAUGAAAUGGAACAGACAAAUUUUACUUGUCAACUUAAUAAUGGUGUCUAGUCAAAAGGCCUCCAGUUGGUUUAGAAUGGAGAAUCUAAAAAAAAAUAUGUAAAGUGUUUUUUUUUAGUUUCCUGAAUUUUUAUAUACAUUUUGUUAUUGCUCCCUUUCAAUUUUUAUAAAUUCCAGAUUUUAAGUUUUGGAUUUAUGGGGCUUUAUUCAUAAAAAAGGGGGAUUUUUCACACCUGGACAAUAACUUAAAAAGGCUUUCACCAAUGUCCAUGAAACUUUGGUGAAUUGUUUAUAUCUAUUGACAUAAGCUCCCUUUCCCUUUUUAUUAAUUUUAGAUUUUACGUUUUCUUAAGUAAUGAAUUUUUAUACUUAAAAAAGGGGGAUAUUAUGCAGUUUUGGUGAAACUUAAAAGAGCAACGGCCGUAUCAUGUGCUAAAGCGCAUCCCUUUAUUGAAAUGUGUUGUAGUUUUUACAUAUUAUUAUUUCUUUAUUUUAAUUAUACAAAUUUUGUAUUGUUAAAUAUUUAAAGGGUGUGGAGUCUCAACAGGGUGAAAUUUUCAGGACAAAAGGGAGGUAAUUCCUUUGUUAUACUCAUUAUACUUGAAAUUUCCUGAGUGUUUAUAUGGAAUAUAACUUUUUUAAUUAAAAUAUUCACUUUUGUACACAUUUUCUUUAAAUAUCAGAUGUAUACUUGCUAAAAUUACUUUUAUUUAGAGUUCUGUAAAUUAAAAAAAAUGUAAGCAGAGCUCUAGCUAUAGAUAAUAGAUUUGGAGGGUGGGAGAAAUUGUGGGUAACUACAAUUGAUUAGGUGAAAUUUCAAAAGACCUAAAAAGUGCAUCUGAUAUUUAUUUUUACAUAAUGUUAUUUCUGAAAGCAAAUGGACAAUAAGAUGAGGACAUAAACCACCUUCCAGGUUAGGAUAGCAGCUCUUAAAGAAGAUGGUCAAUUAAAUCUUCAACCCAGUCUGAGGCCUUACCAUGAAAAAUAUGUGGUUGUUGAAAUUACAAUGUUUUCAUGGUGUGGGGAGUAAGACUUGAAUAUCUGAUAUUGUUAACAUGAUGGUUAGCAUCACAAGUUUCCUUUGGGUAACUUGCUUGAGGAGUAAAGAGAGCUGUUUAAGUUGAAAGUGUCACCUUUGCUGCCUUGUGUGGUACAAUCUUCAGACAAUAUCCUGCAAACCGUGGCUGAACUGUUACUGUCUUUUUUUAGUAGAAUCCUUAGACAGUAAUCUUGUGGCAGAAUGAGUUGUAAACAAAUUGUUUUUAUUCCUGUAUUGAGUUUCAAAUUGGAUAUUUUUUUAUUUAUAUUAUUUGUAUUCCAUUUGCAUUCAAUUAUUGUUUUUUAAUUGAUGAAUCAUUAAAACUUAAA